GUGGGGAAUAUUGGACAAUGGGCGCAAGCCUGAUCCAGCCAUGCCGCGUGAGUGAUGAAGGCCUUAGGGUUGUAAAGCUCUUUCAGUAGGGAAGAUAAUGACGGUACCUACAGAAGAAGCCCCGGCUAACUUCGUGCCAGCAGCCGCGGUAAUACGAAGGGGGCUAGCGUUGUUCGGAUUUACUGGGCGUAAAGCGCACGUAGGCGGAUUGGUCAGUUAGAGGUGAGAUCCUGGAGCUCAACUCCAGAACUGCCUUUAAUACUGCCAGUCUAGAGUCCAGAAGAGGUGAGUGGAACUCCUAGUGUAGAGGUGGAAUUCGUAGAUAUUAGGAAGAACACCAGUGGCGAAGGCGGCUCACUGGUCUGGUACUGACGCUGAGGUGCGAAAGCGUGGGGAGCAAACAGGAUUAGAUACCCUUGUAGUCC
rnacentral:rRNA from 1 species